GCUAGGGGAGCUUAUGCUGAGACUUGCCGCUCAUAUCUGCUGAUUCAGUUAUAUGAUGCGGUUUGACCCUCAAAACCUGAUCCGGUUAAUGCCGGCGUAGGGAAGCAGAAGAA
rnacentral:ncRNA from 1 species